rnacentral:antisense_RNA from 1 species
GCGAGUAGUGAGGGGAUUUUUUGAUGCGGCUUAAUGUCGCCUUUUACUUAUUGCGUUUACUACUACUAAGCCAGUAAGUAAAGUACGCAAUUGCACAGC